rnacentral:tRNA from 3 species
AGGGACAUAGUUCAAGGGUAGAAUAGUGGUCUCCAAAACCAUUGAUGGGCGUUCGAAUCGCUCUGUCCCUG